GGGCUGGUGGCGCAGCGGUAGCGCGUAGGAUUGCAGAUCCCAAGGUCCCCGGUUCAAAUCCGGGUCAGCCCU